AGACCGAGAGGAUCAAUCCAUUCUGUGCACGGGCGAGUCCGGCGCAGGGAAGACGGAGAACACCAAGAAGGUGAUCCAGUAUCUGGCCCACGUGGCCUCCUCGCACAAGGCCCGCAAGGAGCAGAGUGUCCCGACCUCCGGCCCCAUCUCCUACGUGAGUAGCUCCCAGCCUUCCUUCACCCCGCCCCACGUUUCCUGUGGCCCCCUCCUCAACAUUCUGGGUGUGGGGGAGGCGUGUCACCAUGAGAAUAGCGCCCCCUGCUGGGAGA